GCAAGCCGGAGGAAGGUGGGGAUGACGUCAAAUCAUCAUGCCCCUUAUGACCUGGGCUACACACGUGCUACAAUGGAUAGUACAAAGGGUCGCGAAGCCGCGAGGUGGAGCUAAUCCCAUAAAACUAUUCUCAGUUCGGAUUGUAGGCUGCAACUCGCCUACAUGAAGCCGGAAUCGCUAGUAAUCGUGGAUCAGCAUGCCACGGUGAAUACGUUCCCGGGCCUUGUACACACCGCCCGUCACACCACGAGAGUUUGUAACACCCGAAGUCGGUAGGGUAACCUUUAUGGAGCCAGCCGCCGAAGGUGGGACAGAUAAUUGGGGUGAAGUCGUAACAAGGUAGCCGUAUCGGAAGGUGCGGCUGGAUCACCUCCUUUCUAAGGAA
rnacentral:rRNA from 1 species